rnacentral:rRNA from 1 species
AAAUCAGUUAUCGUUUAUUUGAUAGUACCUUACUACUUGGAUAACCGUGGUAAUUCUAGAGCUAAUACAUGCUAAAAAUCCCGACUUCGGAAGGGAUGUAUUUAUUAGAUUAAAAACCAAUGCCCUUCGGGGCUUCCUGGUGAUUCAUGAUAACUUCUCGAAUCGCAUGGCCUUGCGCCGGCGAUGGUUCAUUCAAAUUUCUGCCCUAUCAACUUUCGACGGCUGGGUAUUGGCCAGCCAUGGUGACAACGGGUAACGGAGGGUUAGGGCUCGACCCCGGAGAAGGAGCCUGAGAAACGGCUACUACAUCCAAGGAAGGCAGCAGGCGCGCAAAUUACCCAAUCCCGACACGGGGAGGUAGUGACAAUAAAUACUGAUACAGGGCCCUUUUGGGUCUUGUAAUUGGAAUGAGUACAAUUUAAAUCCCUUAACGAGGAACAAUUGGAGGGCAAGUCUGGUGCCAGCAGCCGCGGUAAUUCCAGCUCCAAUAGCGUAUAUUAAAGUUGUUGCAGUUAAAAAGCUCGUAGUUGAACCUUGGGCCUGGCUGGCCGGUCCGCCUCACCGCGUGCACUGGUCCGGCCGGGCCUUUCCCUCUGGGGAACCGCAUGCCCUUCACUGGGUGUGUCGGGGAACCAGGACUUUUACUUUGAAAAAAUUAGAGUGUUCAAAGCAGGCCUAUGCUCGAAUACAUUAGCAUGGAAUAAUAAAAUAGGACGUGCGGUUCUAUUUUGUUGGUUUCUAGGACCGCCGUAAUGAUUAAUAGGGACAGUCGGGGGCAUCAGUAUUCAAUUGUCAGAGGUGAAAUUCUUGGAUUUAUUGAAGACUAACUACUGCGAAAGCAUUUGCCAAGGAUGUUUUCAUUAAUCAGGAACGAAA